GCCUGGGUGGCUCAGUCAGUUAAGCAUCUGACUUCGGCUCAGGUCAUGAUCUCACAGUCCGUGGGUUCAAGCCCUGCAUCGGGCU
rfam:Felis catus isolate Cinnamon breed Abyssinian chromosome C1, whole genome shotgun sequence.